AGACCGGGGCUUUCAACCACUCAGCCAUCUCUCC
rnacentral:tRNA from 4 species